GUGCUUGCUUUGGCAGCACAUAUAUUAAAAUUGCAAUAAUACAGAGAAGAUUAGCAUGGCCCCUGAGCAAGGAUGACAUGCAAAAAGAUUUAACUGGGGUUG